rnacentral:rRNA from 1 species
AUAUUGGACAAUGGGGGCAACCCUGAUCCAGCCAUGCCGCGUGUGUGAACAAGGUCUUCGGAUUGUAAAGCACUUUAAGUUGGAAGGAAGGGCUGUAGGCUAAUACACGGCACUUUUGACGUUACAAACGGAUUAAGCACCGGCUACCUCGGUGCCAGCAGCCGCGGUAAUACAGAGGGUGCAAGCGUUAGUCGGAAUUACGGGGCGUAAGGCGCGCGUAGGUGGUUCAGUAAGAUGGGUGUGAAAUCCCCGGGCUUAACCUGGGAACUGCUUUCAUAACUGCUGAGCUAGAGUACGGUAGAAGGUAGUGGAAUUUCCUGUGUAGCGGUGAAAUGCGUAGAUAUAGGAAGGAACACCAGUGGCGAAGGCGACUACCUGGACUGAUACUGACACUGAGGUGCGAAAGCGUGGGGAGCAAACA